AUGACAAUUUUAGCAUCAUUCAAUAAGCUUUUAUUAUAAUAAAAGCUUAUUGAAUGAUGCUAAAAUUGUCAU
rnacentral:miRNA from 1 species